AUAUUAAGGAAUAAAAGGCUACGGCUAUCAAAUGACUGCAAAUAAUUUCAACAGAAUUGAGAGCAUCUGUCUUCAUAGUAACGUAGACUGUCCCAGAACAUGCCCAAGGGUAAGCAGUUUGGGGUUCUUAAGCAUCUUAUUUCGGCCUAUCAUUGGGCAUUAUUAUUCCAUUUAUGAGGUUUCUUCAUUUUUCUUUUGAGCCUGUCACAUGACAAAUUUUUGGCUUUUUUUUUUUUAUUUUUAAAGAGAAUUUGUGGUUCAAAUUAAACCCGACUACUUGGAAAUUCACUUUAUUUGAAAAAGAUUUCUCUGCCUAUUUUUUCCUACCCUGGCAUUCGUCUAGAUAGAAAGCAGUAAAGGAGCCACACAGACACUCUGAAGCACCCAGGGACCCUGCUCUGAGGAUGGCCAGCAUGGCCCCCAUCUUGGGCUGCCUGGCAAGUUUUCUUGCACUCCUGAAUUAUCUCGAAUGGAUGCACCUCAGAGCUAGCGAACUGGGAUUUUGGCUUCGUUUCCUUGGGGCAUGCCAGUGGGUCACAUUUCUUCUCUGAACCUCCCUCCAAGCUGCACUGUACUCUUGAAGGGAAAGGGACCGGGCUUCACAAGAACCAGCACAUGCUUUCCUUCCAUUUCCGGGAGUCCCGGGGUCGCUCUGCAGAUGCUGCUCCGUGCGUGGCCGAUGGCAUUCAGACUCCUGGCCGGGCAGACGAGCGGGCGGGACAGCUCGGCGGCGGGGCAGUCCCGGCCAGAGCAGCCGCCCCCCGGCC